rnacentral:sRNA from 1 species
AUCACCGUCGUCCAUUUUCUAAUGCCAGUGAAUAGCGAUUCUAGUUUUCCCUUUACUGAAAUACCAUCUGUACUCUUUGUUUGAGGUAAUCUUUGGAUGUUGAAGUAUGCUAACGUCAAAACAGGUGAUGUGACAUCGAAUUUUGGUUGCUUCGAUAAUGAACUUAGCAUCGUCGUUCUAACAACUUUACCCACUGGACCAUUUUCGAACUGCUCUGUGAAUAAAACACAAACGUCAAAUUCCGCAUGGACUGUUAUUUUCAUAUCGUUCUUCAAGGAAACGGUCCAAACAUCGAACAUGGUGUAGUUGAAUCCGUUUAUAGAAAUUAAUUGACUUUUCAUUUUCACUGUGUGGAUACUUACAUUACAAAAGGCACCAUUAACAUUCACAGUUUCACAUGAUAUCUCGAAAUAUUUACCACAAAACCUCAGAGGUAGUAGCUGAAAUACAGACGAGUCUCUGCAGAACACAAUUAGAUCGUUGUUCGAAUUGAUCAUCAUGUGAUAAUUGGCGAAAUGAAACAAUUGGCCUUGCUGUUUGAUAUCAGCAUGUACUCGUUUCCUAAGUCCUCUGUGUUUUUCAGUUUUGUCUGAUAAAAGUAAUU